rnacentral:rRNA from 1 species
GAUGAACGCUGGCGGCGUGCCUAAUACAUGCAAGUCGAGCGAACGGACGAGAAGCUUGCUUCUCUGAUGUUAGCGGCGGACGGGUGAGUAACACGUGGAUAACCUACCUAUAAGACUGGGAUAACUUCGGGAAACCGGAGCUAAUACCGGAUAAUAUUUUGAACCGCAUGGUUCAAAAGUGAAAGACGGUCUUGCUGUCACUUAUAGAUGGAUCCGCGCUGCAUUAGCUAGUUGGUAAGGUUACGGCUUACCAAGGCAACGAUGCAUAGCCGACCUGAGAGGGUGAUCGGCCACACUGGAACUGAGACACGGUCCAGACUCCUACGGGAGGCAGCAGUAGGGAAUCUUCCGCAAUGGGCGAAAGCCUGACGGAGCAACGCCGCGUGAGUGAUGAAGGUCUUCGGAUCGUAAAACUCUGUUAUUAGGGAAGAACAUAUGUGUAAGUAACUGUGCACAUCUUGACGGUACCUAAUCAGAAAGCCACGGCUAACUACGUG